rnacentral:lncRNA from 1 species
ACAGUGUACUUGGAUAUUUGUAUUUCUUGUGCUUGAGCAAUUAAAUAAAACUGCUUGGUAGGCUGCCUUGGGAUAUGACAGGCUUAACAGCCCGCUGAACAAACAGUGGAGUUGCUGUCACACUUGAAUUACAGUCUGUUUAAACUUCAAAUCAGCUACAACACAGGGCUCACAUUUCCUGAGCAGGUGGGAAAGAAAAGCCUCCAGGAUAUCAAGGAGACAACUGCCUAAAUCCUAAAGAAGAGGUUUCCAGACUUUUGAAGAGGACACUAGACAAACAAUAAAUUGAAACUUUUCCUAAACGUUCAAGGAAAAGCUUCCUUAAAAUCUAAUCUUAUGAAGUACAGUAGAGAUGUGAGCAAGUAUAAAUCAGAGGUAUCCUGAAAUGGUCUGUAAUGGAUCAAAAUUUAGAUGACAGUUGUAAAACAUCAUUUUAAGUUUCCCUGGCUUGGUUACAAAUGUAACCUGAGAACCAGAAGAAUGUUAAGGUUUUUCUAUGCUAUUUUAAAUCAGUGGUUCUUGGAAACACACAUAUACACAAACACACACAUGUAUUAUCUCUCUAUCUAUCUAUCUAUCUAUCAGAUUAAGUUGGUUUUAGGUGCUUAUUUAGAGUAGGCUUACCCAAAUCACAUAAUCUAGUUUGCUGCUAUUUAUGCUGGUAUAUUUAACAACUGUUACUCUGAGUGACAAUUAUAGAUCAGUUUCCUUUAUUUUCUGGGUCUCCAGCUUGACCAAGUGAUAUAUCACCAUCUCUGAAUUGGUGGUGGCUGGUGAACAAACUAUGCUUUUGUUUGUUCAUCUUUUAAAAAUCAUCCAAAUUAAAUGUGCAUUUAAGAAUUGAGGGUUCUUAAAUACAUCCAUACAAUAGAGACUACUUUGCCAUUAUUAAACAUGAUGAGGUAACAUUAACAUCCAAAAGGAGAAAUACUUAGGUAUAAACCUAACAAAACAUGUUUAAGAACUAAAUGAGGUAAAUUGCAAAACUGUUGAAACUAAUCAAAGGAAGACUAAAUAGAGAGAUAAUCCAUAUUCAUGAACAGAAGGGCUCAAUAGUAUUAAGAUGUCAGUUCUUCCUGACUCGAUCUAUAGAUUCAAUGGAAACAUUAUCCUAUAAACACAUGCACGAUCAUUCUAUAUAUUCAUGAAAGCAUCAAAAGAUAACUGGAAGAAUAUAUACUAGUUAGUGAUGAUUAUCCAUAAGUGGCAGCUCAAUAAUGAGUGAUCACCCUGUUAGAUUUUUACAAUUUAUAUUGCUUGUUAUUAUAUCAAGUAUGUAUUGGUUUUAUCAUCAGCAAACAAACAAACAACAAAAACGCUAUGAUGAGAAAAGACAAUAAAGUUUAUAAUCAGUAAAGCCAGACAGACUGAGGAGAUGAUGCAGGUUCUUUUCUACAUUUAGGGCAGACUGGGCAGUGAGUGCUGUCCUCAAAACUUCUGCCACAAAGUCCCCUCAAUAGCAAAUUUUCCAACACACACAGCUUCCAGGCCUUGAAACCAGUUCAUCUGACAAGGGGGGGAGACAGCACUGAGGGCAAAGAGAGAUGGCCUGAGAGAGAGCACAGUGCUUUCAUUGGGUUUAUUGAUCAGACAUACAGUGUCAUGAGGUUCAGGCCAUUGUGAAUAAUCACUAUCACAUGGGAGCACUGAAUCUUUCACCACCACUAGCCAGAGUCUCACGCCUUCCAAGGGAUGCUGCCUCCACCCAAGUUUUCAUCCUGGAGCGGAUACUCUAUGCUUGUAGUCAUUCUAUGCUUGGAUCAUACACAACAAUGAAUCACAAAAGAAAAAAAGAGGCAGGGGUGGGGGUGGGGCAGAAAGCUUGCACAGAAAAUGUGGAAUAAGUAUUUUAGUUAUUACGUUACCAUUUUUCAAGUAUGAAACCCCCAAAAAAAGUUUGGGAAGAGGGAAUGGGAAGGAAAGGAAAGUUAGAGGAUGUCAAGUCUCAGCUGUUAACCUUCUCCUUUCCCCCAAAGCUUAUUAAAAAAUAUGCAGCAAUCUGUUAAUGCCCUUAGGAGGUGAGUCUAGGCCCUGUUGAGAGCUUCCUAUUCCCCCAACUCUUCCCAAUCCUUUCUGAGCACAUUUCAGAAGGGCAAAAGGACAGGCCCAGCAUCCACCAAGCAGAACAUUCCUGAAAGACUCCUGAGUGUGAAGGCAGUGUGAUACGGUAGUCACAACCAUAAAGAAGCCAAGUCUAAGCCUCCAGGGAGAGAGCAGUCUUUGUUCUGCCACCAUCUGCACUUCCUUGAGGAGAGCGAGACGAGGGCCCCCCUCAGCCAUCAUCCCUCACAGAUGCUUUCACUGAGUACCACAAAAAAAGGCCCAAAGUUGCCUAAGGCCCACGAGAUACCCCUGUGCAAUGAGAUAAGGGAUCUCAGGAUGAAAUGAGUGGCCACUCAGUAUGAAAGGUACCCACCCUGCUUGCUAAGCUAGCUCCUUUGACUUCUGACAGUCAUUUGCUUUUUAUGACACAUAUGAGCUACCUACUUUGUUCCGCCUCUGGAAUUUUUGUCCCUUUGGUUCGUGUCCUUCUGUUUGGGUGCAUUUAGUCUUCCCUGUGCCAACUGUGCCUACAGUGGUUGUGAUCCAUGGUUUUGCUCUUACUUAGAACACAUACCUGUUCCUCAGACCCUGCUCCAGGGCACUGAGCCUGCUGUCCCUUCAGCACUCACACCCUUUACUGAAAGGGUCUUCAAGACCUAUACCCCUUUGGGUUGGACUGGCACUCAGCCUCUAGGAGUGACCAGCUGCUCUUGUGAAGGCUUUUAUGGAUCCAGCAGCUAACUCUCAGGGGCCAUUUCUGCCUCUCUCCUCCCCCAAAGGGCAACUGGACACAGGCUUAGGAAACCUGCUUCUCAUUUCUUUAAUGUCCCAGGAGUCAGGGAGUUCCCGGCGUGGCUCAGCAGAAACAAAUCUGACUUGUAUCCAUGAGGACGCAGGUUCAAUCCCUGGCCUUGCUAAGUGAGUUAAGGAUCUGGCGUUGCCGUGAGCUGUGGUGUAAGUCACAGAUGUGGCUGGGAUACCGAGUUGCUGUAGCUGUGGUGUAGGCUAGCAGCUACAGCUC